UCCGUAGGCGGUUUAUUAAGUUCAGAGGUGAAAUCCCGCAGCUUAACUGUGGAACUGCCUUUGAUACUGGUAGACUUGAGUUAUAUGGAAGUAGAUAGAAUAUGUAGUGUAGCGGUGAAAUGCAUAGAUAUUACAUAGAAUACCGAUUGCGAAGGCAGUCUACUACGUAUAUACUGACGCUAAUGGACGAAAGCGUGGGGAGCGAACG
rnacentral:rRNA from 1 species